rnacentral:rRNA from 1 species
ACGAACGCUGGCGGCGUGCCUAAUACAUGCAAGUCGAGCGGACUUUCAAGAAGCUUGCUUUUUGAAAGUUAGCGGCGGACGGGUGAGUAACACGUGGGCAACCUGCCUGCAAGACGGGGAUAACUCCGGGAAACCGGGGCUAAUACCGGAUAAUAUCUUCCUUCGCAUGAAGGAAGGUUGAAAGGCGGCGCAAGCUGCCGCUUGCAGAUGGGCCCGCGGCGCAUUAGCUAGUUGGUGAGGUAACGGCUCACCAAGGCGACGAUGCGUAGCCGACCUGAGAGGGUGAUCGGCCACACUGGGACUGAGACACGGCCCAGACUCCUACGGGAGGCAGAAGUAGGGAAUCUUCCGCAAUGGACGAAAGUCUGACGGAGCAACGCCGCGUGAGCGAAGAAGGUCUUCGGAUCGUAAAGCUCUGUUGUCAGGGAAGAACAAGUACCGUUCGAACAGGGCGGUACCUUGACGGUACCUGACCAGAAAGCCACGGCUAACUACGUG